rnacentral:tRNA from 2 species
GCGCCGAUAUUGGAUCUCUUACAACCCUCCGAAGGCAGGGGUUGCUGGUUCGAUCCCAGCCGGGCGCGCCA